rfam:Camelus ferus unplaced genomic scaffold scaffold307, whole genome shotgun sequence.
GGGGACAUAGCUCAGUGGUAGAGCGCAUGCUUAGCAUGCAUGAGGUCCUGGGUUCGAUCCCCAGUGUCUCCA